ACCGGGUGCAGUGUCGCACACCUGUAAUCCCAGCAGCUCAGGAGGCUGAGACAGGAGGAUCACGAGUUCAAAGAAAGCCUCAGCAAUUUAGCAAGGCCCUUAGCAACUCAGUGAGACCCUGUCUCUA
rnacentral:sRNA from 1 species